UUGAACGCUGGCGGAAUGCUUUACACAUGCAAGUCGGGCGGCAGCGCGGGGGCAACCCUGGCGGCGAGCGGCGAACGGGUGAGUAACAUAUCGGAACGUACCCAGACGUGGGGGACAACUAGUCGAAAGACUAGCUAAUACCGCAUACGUCCUGAGGGAGAAAGCGGGGGAUCGCAAGACCUCGCGCGUUUGGAGCGGCCGAUAUCUGAUUAGCUAGAUGGUGGGGUAAAGGCCCACCAUGGCGACGAUCAGUAGCUGGUCUGGGAGGAUGAUCAGCCACACUGGAACUGAGACACGGUCCAGACUCCUACGGGAGGCAGCAGUGGGGAAUUUUGGACAAUGGGGGAAACCCUGAUCCAGCCAUUCCGCGUGAGUGAAGAAGGCCUUCGGGUUGUAAAGCUCUUUCGGCAGGAGCGAAACGGCGGAAUCUAAUACAUUCCACUAAUGACGGUACCUGAAGAAGAAGCACCGGCUAACUACGU
rnacentral:rRNA from 1 species